rnacentral:misc_RNA from 1 species
CGGCUUGUUUGUUGGACCGUACACCGACUUUCAACCGUUGGUGGGCCCGAAAGAUAAUGGCAGAGUCGGUCGGACCCUGGAUGCAGCGAGCUCUAUUUUCAGCACGCAUCACGGCGGUCCCCGGGCUCGGUCUUAACCGGAUCUUCGAUCCACUUCUUAUGGUUGACCUCGGAUCAGGUAGGGAUACCCGCUGAACUUAA